UACGAAGGGGGCUAGCGUUGCUCGGAAUUACUGGGCGUAAAGGGCGCGUAGGCGGAUGUUUAAGUUAGAGGUGAAAGCCCAGGGCUCAACCUUGGAAUUGCCUUUGAUACUGAACAUCUUGAGUACGGGAGAGGUGAGUGGAACUCCGAGUGUAGAGGUGAAAUUCGUAGAUAUUCGGAAGAACACCAGUGGCGAAGGCGACUCACUGGCCCGUUACUGACGCUGAGGCGCGAAAGCGUGGGGAG
rnacentral:rRNA from 1 species